UCUCAAAACUCUCUCAAACUCCCUAAAAUUCGCAGCUAUAAUCAGAAUUUCGGACAGAUUCAGCAAGCUUCACUAAAGUGAGCAUAACUCACUCAAUACUUGUCCGAUUUAGUCCAUUCUUUUUCCUAUGUGCUUGGAUCGACCUUACCUUCGAUUCCAUGGGUUUUUCACAAAGGACUUGGUGUUCCAACCUCCUAAUCAACCAACUCACUCGCGGAUUCAAGUAGAAGACUUGCAA
rnacentral:lncRNA from 1 species